rnacentral:lncRNA from 1 species
UACAAUCUUAGCACGCCCCAAGCUGGUUACGAAUUGCCCACUCGGAGGACAACCCCGAAGGGAUUUGUCAAUGCUCGAAAAUUUGUUUUAAUAAUGUGAUGAUUAAUUCCGUCGGGAACUGUUUCUGUUCUACCAUCUGCUAUAAAUCUAGGCAGAUCUGUACAAUUGCAACAAAGAUUUAGCCAGGAUAAAUAGUUAUUCAAACCUAUGAACUAUCUGGAAGCAAAGGGACAUUCCUGAAAGAAAUUGCCACCAUAAAGCAGAAUGCCAGCCGCACAGUGCCUACUAGCUCAUAGCUAAACAACGGAGAACUGCAGCCUUGAAACAGUGCCCCAAAGAGUUAAAGAAGUCUGUGACUAACAAAUUCUUGAGUUUGCAGGAUAGCAGAUGAGAAAAGAAACAACUUGCUGAAACUCCCUCCACUUGUAAUAUUAAAAAACUGACUGAAAUUGCUUGCAAUCAACAUGACUAACUGGAGUUUGUGCAGAAUGGUUUGCUAACAUCACAGCCUGAAUUUCCAGUGCAUGGUUCAUACAAACUCCCCGAGUUUGACAUAUGAUCCAUGUGGUGGCAUGAAGAGGUAACUGUGCAUGCCUCAGCACUUUCUAGACCUCCGCUUUCCUUCCGCCAAUCACCUACUAAUCCCAGAAUCCACCCAUGAAUUUUUUUCUAAUAAAAUUACUGCUUUAAACCUAGCACAGAGAGACAGAUUCGAGCUGGAUUCCUGUCUUUUUAGUCAACUUGCAAUAAAA